GUGUCAGCAGCCGCGGUAAAACGUAGGAGGCGAGCGUUAUCCGGAUUUACUGGGCGUAAAGCGCGCGCAGGCGGUUCCGUUAGUCGGACGUGAAAGCUCCUGGCUUAACUGGGAGAGGCCGUUCGAUACUGCGGGACUUGAGGUUGGGAGAGGAGUGUGGAAUUCCCGGUGUAGUGGUGGAAUGCGUAGAGAUCGGGAGGAACACCUGUGGCGAAAGCGGCACUCUGGCCCACACCUGACGCUGAGGUGCGAAAGCGUGGGUAGCAAACAGGAUUAGAUACCCUGGUAGUCCACGCUGUAAACGAUGUCAACUAGGUGUCGGUGGUUUUACACCAUCGGUGCCGUAGCUAACGCGUUAAGUUGACCGCCUGGGGACUACGGCCGCAAGGCUAAA
rnacentral:rRNA from 1 species